CCCCAGCUCCCUGAGUAAACCUAAAAUAAACAAGGCAGGCCUGAAGUGCAGCUGGAUUAAUAAAAAGCAGACCGGAGGGGAGUGUUUGAUCUAAAAAGGACUGACCUGACUGUUGGGCUUUGCAGUGAAGCACUUUCCCAGAGGCAGCGGCAGAAGAGGUAGAGUUAGAGUUUUAUUGACUUUACAUCAGUGCUGAUGGUCAGUGCAGCACUUCACAUGUUCUGGAGGGUGUGAGAUGAGGUCUCCAUGGAUCAAACUUGUUUUUCCUGCACAUCCAACAGAAGUUUGAUCAGUCCAGGAUCUGGGGAAGUCAACACCUUGAACUCUGUCAUGUUUCACAGACCAUUUCUGAAAAAUGUUUGCAGUGUAGCAGGGAGCAUUAUUCUGCUGAAAGAGGCUGCUGCCACCAGAAAAUACUGCUGCCAUGAGGUGGUAUGAGACAUUUUUCCAAGUACCCAAAGGUGUUACCAAUACUACGAAAGAAAAAUGGUGAAUCUGCAUUAUGUACAUAUAGGUAUGUUAUUAGGUACUGGUAUUUUUUAACUUGUUAUCACAUAUAAAACACAGGCUGCAGUUCAGCUUAAAAGUCCUUGAAUUUUUGUCAUUUGACUGUUGGUCACUGCUGAGCCAUGCAUGGGUUGGCAAUUGCAGUGAUGAACAUGUAAUUAUGUUUUUUGUUUUUUUUUACUGAAUCUGGUUGAGAAAAAUAGUUUAUUUCUGGAUUUUAAAAAAAAAAAUAGACCUGUAAAAUUUAAAGUGAUAUUAAAGAAAUAUCACAAUUUAAAGCUUAGAUUUGGUAAAUUUCCCUGACAGAACUGCACCUCACACGAGCUGCUCAAGAACGGUCUGAAAGUUGACAAAUAUUUCUAAUUUUACAGUUUCUGGCUCUGAAUAAUGGUUUAAUUUGGGUGACCAGUAUCAAAGAUAACAUGCCUUUCAAACCCGCUGAUGGAUUUUGGGGCUACGGAGGGUUAAUCUAAAAAUACUGAUUAGCGCAGCUUUAAUUUUAUUCAGGGAUCAUGUUCAGUGAAUUAGAAUCAAAGAAAGAAUGUUGUGCAUUCACAGAAAUAUUUUUAGGACUGUCAUUAAAUCAUACAAAUGCUACAAAUAUCACGUGUUCUCAGUACCUUUUAAAAGUGCUUUAUGAUUGGUGACUUCCAUUAAGGUUCCAUUAGCAGAUACUGAUAUUGCAGUGCACACAUACAAAUCAUUCUGUGAACACGUCACAGAAAUAGAAAACUAUCCAACUGUUAGUGAUGAGUUAUUUAACACUGAUUGGUUUUCUUACAAAUCUGACCAUGCAGACCCACAGCAAACUUUACAGCAGCGACCACACAACUAAGUGCUGCCUGU